rnacentral:rRNA from 1 species
UACGAAGGGGGCUAGCGUUGUUCGGAUUUACUGGGCGUAAAGCGCACGUAGGCGGAUCUUUAAGUCAGAGGUGAAAUCCCAAGGCUCAACCUUGGAACUGCCUUUGAUACUGGGGAUCUUGAGUCCGGGAGAGGUGAGUGGAACUGCGAGUGUAGAGGUGAAAUUCGUAGAUAUUCGCAAGAACACCGGUGGCGAAGGCGGCCAACUGGACCAUUACUGACGCUGAGGCGCGAAAGCGUGGGGAGCAAACAGG